rnacentral:rRNA from 1 species
CCUACGGGAGGCAGCAGUGGGGAAUAUUGGACAAUGGGGGCAACCCUGAUCCAGCCAUGCCGCGUGUGUGAAGAAGGCCCUCGGGUUGUAAAGCACUUUCAGUGAGGAAGAACGCCUGGUGGUUAAUACCCAUCAGGAAAGACAUCACUCACAGAAGAAGCACCGGCUAACUCCGUGCCAGCAGCCGCGGUAAUACGGAGGGUGCGAGCGUUAAUCGGAAUUACUGGGCGUAAAGCGCGCGUAGGUGGCUUGAUAAGCCGGUUGUGAAAGCCCCGGGCUCAACCUGGGAACGGCAUCCGGACCUGUCAAGCUAGAGUGCAGGAGAGGAAGGUGGAAUUCCCGGUGUAGCGGUGAAAUGCGUAGAGAUCGGGAGGAAUACCAGUGGCGAAGGCGGCCUUCUGGACUGACACUGACACUGAGGUGCGAAAGCGUGGGUAGCAAACAGGAUUAGAUACCCGUGUAGUC